UGGUCAAGUUAUUAAGGGUGCAGGGCGGAUGCCUUGGCACUAGGAGCCGAUGAAGGACGUGAUAAGCUGCG
rnacentral:rRNA from 1 species